GACGAACCGUGCGAACGUUGUUCGGAAUCACUGGGCUUAAAGGCGCGUAGGCGGCUUGCCAAGUCAGUGGUGAAAUCCCACAGCUUAACUGUGGAAGUGCCUUUGAUACUGGCGAGCUCGAGGGAGGUAGGGGUAUGUGGAACUUCUGGUGGAGCGGUGAAAUGCGUUGAUAUCAGAAGGAACGCCGGUGGCGAAAGCGACGUACUGGACCUCUUCUGACGCUGAGGCGCGAAAGCUAGGGGGAGCAAACGGG
rnacentral:rRNA from 1 species